UUGGCUGUUGGAUCUCUGAGGGACUUUAUUUUCUUUGUUGAAUCUAGAAACACACACAAACAAGUCUUCCAUUAAUAUUUGGUCUUGAUGCUGAGAAGAAAGAAACUGAGAAACACAGACCAGACACUAGUGAGGGUCUUCAUAAUGGUGGACAUCCUCACCUUCUGUAGGAUUUCUACCACCUGCUUCUUCAGAAAGGACAAGAAAGAUUUUAAGUACUGCUCAUAUACAAAAGGAAAGAAGAAUCAAUACAAGUUAUCAAAGCCAGAGGUGAGAAACCAGUUUAUUUUUGUUUUUUCAAGUGAGGCUAAUGCUGGUAAGAAGUUACUGGAUAGGCCUGGAGACUAAAGAUCCAUUGGGGAUGAAAGCAAAGGAACCACCAUCUGGUACAAAGUGGUUUCUCCUGUCUUUCUUCUAGUCACGGACCGAAGAGGGGAUGUUGUUCUGCUGCGUUUGUGUUGACAAGGACUCCCUUUUAAAGUUAUGGAGUUGCCGAUCUGCCUCUAUCAGACCUCCCUCUAGCAGACAUGACUACACGUGCAUCUCAUUGCACCAAUGGCUUUGGCAUCACAUCAGCCUCUGAAAAACUAACUGAUUUGAACAACAUCUGUCUAGCCAAAUCUGUAGCUCCAACUGUAGGCCAAUUUACUUCUAAGCCCCAAACAGAUUCACAUGAAGCAUGGUACCUAAGUAACAAUAAUACAAAAGUGUACAGUAGUACAAAGAAGCAAGUCUGCCAAAAAAAGUCAGAAGAAACAGCGACAAACAGGCACGCAUCUAGUAACAAAUAGUAGAUCCCAAUGAAGUCGAACACUUCCUUUGGAGGACCUCUUGUCUAAAUACACAAUUAAAUUCAGUGUGAGGUCCUUUCUCUUUGCUGUUAAAUCAGAGGCCCAUAAAGUUAAUUCAAACAACAGAAAAAAAACAGGCAGUGCCACCUCUGUAUCACUCUGAUUUCAUUCCCAAUUGUUCUGUAUUGAGUUUGAUAACACUUAUCACUAACCAAGAGCAAAAAUGUUGACACAGCUACAGCUCCUCUCACAAAGAAGAGGCUCUCUGUCACAGAACUCUGGUGAAGAUUCCUGUUAUUUCUGAAAUGAUUCACUGAAGUGUUGAAGAUUGAAUCUAACAUCCUGGGAAAUUAUGCAUUAUGCAUCAUUUAAAGUUGUUCUAUUUAACAGACUUAACAUAAAACCUAUAUAUCAGACUACAUUAAAAGUUUCA